GAUGAACGCUGGCGGCGUGCCUAAUACAUGCAAGUCGAGCGAACAGACGAGGAGCUUGCUCCUCUGACGUUAGCGGCGGACGGGUGAGUAACACGUGGAUAACCCACCUAUAAGACUGGGAUAACUUCGGGAAACCGGAGCUAAUACCGGAUAAUAUAUUGAACCGCAUGGUUCAAUAGUGAAAGACGGUUUUGCUGUCACUUAUAGAUGGAUCCGCGCCGCAUUAGCUAGUUGGUAAGGUAACAGCUUACCAAGGCAACGAUGCGUAGCCGACCUGAGAGGGUGAUCGGCCACACUGGAACUGAGACACGGUCCAGACUCCUACGGGAGGCAGCAGUAGGGAAUCUUCCGCAAUGGGCGAAAGCCUGACGGAGCAACGCCGCGUGAGUGAUGAAGGUCUUCGGAUCGUAAAACUCUGUUAUUAGGGAAGAACAAAUGUGUAAGUAACUAUGCACGUCUUGACGGUACCUAAUCAGAAAGCCACGGCUAACUACGUG
rnacentral:rRNA from 1 species